UUCUGGCUCAGGAUGAACGCUAGCUACAGGCUUAACACAUGCAAGUCGAGGGGCAGCAUUGGAGUAGCAAUACUUCAGAUGGCGACCGGCGCACGGGUGAGUAACACGUAUCCAACCUGCCGCUUACUCGGGGAUAGCCUUUCGAAAGAAAGAUUAAUACCCGAUGGUAUAAAGAGUUCGCAUGUUCUCUUUAUUAAAGAAUUUCGGUAAGCGAUGGGGAUGCGUUCCAUUAGAUAGUUGGCGGGGUAACGGCCCACCAAGUCUACGAUGGAUAGGGGUUCUGAGAGGAAGGUCCCCCACAUUGGAACUGAGACACGGUCCAAACUCCUACGGGAGGCAGCAGUGAGGAAUAUUGGUCAAUGGACGAGAGUCUGAACCAGCCAAAGUAGCGUGAAGGAUGACUGCCCUAGUGGGUUGUAAACUUUCUUUUAUAAGGGAAUAAAGUGAGGGACGUGUCCCUUUUUGUAUGUACCUUAUGAAUAAGGAUCGGCUAACUCCGUGCCAGCCGCGGC
rnacentral:rRNA from 1 species